rnacentral:rRNA from 1 species
GACGAACGCUGGCGGCGUGGAUUAGGCAUGCAAGUCGAACGGUAUCAUCCUUUCGGGGGUGAGAGAGUGGCGAACUGGUGAGUAACACGUAGGUUAUCUACCCUCAAGACGGGGACAACCCAGGGAAACUUGGGCUAAUACCGGAUGUGAGCAACUUUUAGUUGUUUGAAAGGUGGCGUAAGCUGUCGCUUGGGGAUGAGCCUGCGUCCUAUUAGUUAGUUGGUGAGGUAACGGCUCACCUAGGCAAUGAUAGGUAGGCGGCCUUAACGGGUGGUCGCCCACACUGGGAUUGAGAUACGGCCCAGACUCCUACGGGAGGCAGCAGUCGAGAAUAGUCUACAAUGGUCGGAAGACUGAUAGUGCGGCGCCGCGUGAACGAUGAAUCCCUUCGGGGUGUAAAGUUCUUUUAUAUGUGAGCAGUGCUUCUUAUAUUAACAGUAUGGGGAAGAGAUAUUAGCAUAUGAAUAAGCAACGGCUAACUCCGUGCCAGCAGCCGCGGU